AGGAUGAACGCUGGCGGCGUGCUUAACACAUGCAAGUCGAACGUGAAGCCUAGUACCUAGUAUUGGGUGGAAAGUGGCGAACGGGUGAGUAACACGUUGAUGACCUGUCCCGAGGAGGGGGAUAACCGUGGGAAACCAUGGCUAAUACCCCGGAUGUCUAGGUUGUUAGAGAGCCUAGGCCAAAGCUCCGGCGCCUUGGGAGGGGCCUGCGGGCUAUCGGCUUGUUGGUGGGGUAACGGCCUACCAAGGCUAAGACGGCUAGGGGGCGUGAGAGCGCGACCCCCCACAAUGGAACUGAGACACGGUCCAUACUCCUACGGGAGGCAGCAGUGAGGAAUAUUGCGCAAUGGGGGCAACCCUGACGCAGCAACGCCGCGUGGACGAUGAAGGCCUUCGGGUUGUAAAGUCCUUUUUUGGGGGAUGAUAAUGACGGUACCCCAAGAAUAAGUCCCGGCUAACUACGUGCCAGCAGCCGCGGUAAAACGUAGGGGGCAAGCGUUAUCCGGAUUUACUGGGCGUAAAGCGCACGUAGGCGGCGCUGUAAGUUGGACGUGAAAGCUCUCGGCUUAACUGGGAGAGGUCGUUCAAUACUGCGGUGCUCGAGGUUGGGAGAGGAGAGUGGAAUUCCCGGUGUAGUGGUGGAAUGCGUAGAUAUCGGGAGGAACACCAGUGGCGAAGGCGACUCUCUGGUCCACACCUGACGCUGAGGUGCGAAAGCGUGGGGAGCGAACGGGAUUAGAUACCCCGGUAGUCCACGCCGUAAACGAUGGAUACUAGGUGUAGGAGGUCAUUUACCCCUUCUGUGCCGUAGCUAACGCGUUAAGUAUCCCGCCUGGGGACUACGAUCGCAGGGU
rnacentral:rRNA from 1 species